rnacentral:misc_RNA from 1 species
AGGGAUCAUUACCGAGUUUACAAACUCCCAAACCCCUGUGAACAUACCCGAACGUUGCCUCGGCGGGACCGCCCCGGCGCCCAUCUCGCGGCCCGGAACCAGGCGCCCGCCGGAGGACCCCAAACUCUUGCUUUGAACAGUGGAAUUUGCUCUCUGAGUCUCACAAACAAAAAAUGAAUAAAAACUUUCAACAACGGAUCUCUUGGCUCUGGCAUCGAUGAAGAACGCAGCGAAAUGCGAUAAGUAAUGUGAAUUGCAGAAUUCAGUGAAUCAUCGAAUCUUUGAACGCACAUUGCGCCCGCCAGCAUUCUGGCGGGCAUGCCUGUCCGAGCGUCAUUUCAACCCUCAGGGCCCCCUAGGGGGACCUGGUGUUGGGGGCCGGCCGCCCGCGCCGCCCCCGAAAUGCAGUGGCGACCUCGCCGCAGCCUCCCCUGCGUAGUAGCACAACCUCGCACCGGAGCG